ACAUGGAACAGAGUUAAUAAAAAAAAGGGGGGGAGGACUCAAGGAGAGGAAAUGCAACUGUCAGAAAUCGGGACCGCCAGAUUUCCUGGUGAACCUGCCUCUCUGAGAGGGUGUCUCACCGAACGGUAGCUAAGACCUCACCAGGACCGCGCGAAGUGAGGAGUCGCGUCCAAAGGCGCCCGCCGGAGCCUCGUCUCUGGGCCGGACCCCAACCCGAGCGGCCGAAAGGAACCCCCCGCCCGGAUCACAGAAAAGAGCAGAAAGGAUGGGGGGAGGGGGGAACGAGAUCGAAGUAGAAGGAAGGCGAGACCCGACGCAUUCCAGCCCCUCUUUCCUUAGCUGCUCCCGGCCGGAAGGCGCACUUGAUGCCGGGAGAGGCGAAGAAGGUGAAGUUCGUUUGUAGACCUGGAACCCCUUUGGGGGGUGCCGGGGAAUAAAUCAGUUCACAACUGAUUCACAACCGGCCACAGCCCCCCCCCAAUACACACACACACACACACACACACACACACACACACACA